UCAAGUUUGAUAUCGAAAAAUGUGUCCGUUUGCAUUUUAUUGUUUUUCCAAAGUCAAAGCGACCUUUGCAUAUCUUUAUAUGUAUAUGUAUAUAUAAAGAUAUAGCAAAUGAAAAUAGUUGACAAAAAUGUGUCUCAUUUUGGUUUGAUAACAAAUGAAACACAACUCAACAUGAAUGUCACAUUAUAUUUAUGUGUUGAAGACAAUUUUUAAAGAAUUCUUAGCAGGAUAAGACAAAAAUUGAAAUAAAAUAAAAGGAGAAAAACCAAUCGAUAAUUUCAUCAUAUGCACAGAAAACAAGACAGCAAGCAAAACAUUCAUUGAGAAGGAGCGUGUGACUCAUCUAAAAAUUCAAUACUUCUACUGCUUACAAUAACGACUAAGAACUAACAGACUUGCGAAACCCGAGACUUGCGAAUAUAUAUUGAUUUGCAAUUUCGUUGUCAAAUACACACAGUGCACGUACACUCACAUCGAUUAUAGUUGUAAAAUCUGUGACUGAAAGUGAACAUAGUUCGAACAAAAUUCAAGCAACGGGAACCAUGCGUGAGGCUUUUCCACCAAUUCUACCAAGCCUUCCGUCUGGUUCCCCGGACUUAGAAAGAACGCAUCCUAAACUCACUGGACAACAGUCCGUCCAUCAAUUGGAUACAUCGACAACGAUUGAAUCGGCCAUCAAGAGCUUUCCAAAUAAGGACAGCACCGAUUCAGUCACCUCAUUUGGUCUUAUUCAAAAAUCAAAGAAGACAACGACAAAAAUUGGACACUCACCCCAUCACCAUCGGAAUUCUUCACCAAACACAAAGUACGGCAACUACACUGGUAGUCCAACAUUGAAAAACGAAUCGAGAACACUUUCUGAACGAGGUAUAUCCAGAAAAAAUUUAAACGUUUCAUUCGACACCCAUAGAAUAAAAGAACAACUGAUGCGGUUGAAAUGAAAAUGAGACUUUCGUCGCUCAAUACACAGAUAC